AAGGAUAUAUUCGGAACAUCUUCUUCGAAGAUGAAAGGGAUUAACGUGACAUAUUGUAUUCAGUUUUGAAUGUUUAUUAACAUUCAAAUUUGUACAUUGAAAACUAGAUAAGUAAGUAAAUAGAUUUUACCAAGCAAAACCGAGUGAAUAGAGUUUUAAAUAAGCUUGAAUUCAUAAAAAUAAUCGCUAGUGUUCGAAAGAACACUCACAAGAUUAAUAACGCGUUUCCUGGUGGAAACAYA
rnacentral:misc_RNA from 1 species